AAGAUGAUCAGCAUAAUCAGAAACAUGGUUGACGAUGACGAUUUCCGAGCUGGAGGGCGCGAAGACCUCGGCUUCGCCAUUGUUGGUCAAGACUAGGGAGAUCGUGAUCAGGUAAUUCCUCAACUCAGUGUUUAACGACUGAGUCCCAAGUUGCGAGUUAUCUCUUU